AUUGAACGCUGGCGGCAGGCCUAACACAUGCAAGUCGAGCGGAUGAAGGGAGCUUGCUCCUGGAUUCAGCGGCGGACGGGUGAGUAAUGCCUAGGAAUCUGCCUGGUCGUGGGGGAUAACGUCCGGAAACGGGCGCUAAUACCGCAUACGUCCUGAGGGAGAAAGUGGGGGAUCUUCGGACCUCACGCUAUCAGAUGAGCCUAGGUCGGAUUAGCUAGUUGGUGGGGUAAAGGCCUACCAAGGCGACGAUCCGUAACUGGUCUGAGAGGAUGAUCAGUCACACUGGAACUGAGACACGGUCCAGACUCCUACGGGAGGCAGCAGUGGGGAAUAUUGGGCAAUGGGCGAAAGCCUGAUCCAGCCAUGCCGCGUGUGUGAAGAAGGUCUUCGGAUUGUAAAGCACUUUAAGUUGGGAGGAAGGGCAGUAAGUUAAUACCUUGCUGUUUUGACGUUACCAACAGAAUAAGCACCGGCUAACUUCGUG
rnacentral:rRNA from 1 species